GCUAAUACCGAAUAAUGACGUAAGUCCAAAGAUUUAUCGCCCAAGGAUGAGCCCGCGUAGGAUUAGCUAGUUGGUGAGGUAAAAGCUCACCAAGGCGACGAUCCUUAGCUGGUCUGAGAGGAUGAUCAGCCACACUGGGACUGAGACACGGCCCAGACUCCUACGGGAGGCAGCAGUGGGGAAUAUUGGACAAUGGGCGAAAGCCUGAUCCAGCAAUGCCGCGUGAGUGAUGAAGGCCUUAGGGUUGUAAAGCUCUUUUACCCGGGAUGAUAAUGACAGUACCGGGAGAAUAAGCUCCGGCUAACUCCGUGCCAGCAGCCGCGGUAAUACGGAGGGAGCUAGCGUUAUUCGGAAUUACUGGGCGUAAAGCGUACGUAGGCGGCUUUGUAAGUUAGAGGUGAAAGCCUGGAGCUCAACUCCAGAAUUGCCUUUAAGACUGCAUCGCUUGAAUCCAGGAGAGGUGAGUGGAAUUCCGAGUGUAGAGGUGAAAUUCUUGGAUCGUCGCAAGACGAACUACUGCGAAAGCAUUUGCCAAGAAUGUUUUCAUUAAUCAAGAACGAAAGUUAGAGGUUCGAAGGCGAUCAGAUACCGCCCUAGUUCUAACCAUAAACGAUGCCAACCGGCGAUCCGUCGUCGUUAAUUGAAUGACUCGACGGGCAGCCUCCGGGAAACCAGAGUGUUUGGGUUCCGGGGGAAGUAUGGUUGCAAAGCUGAAACUUAAAGGAAUUGACGGAAGGGCACCACCAGGAGUGGAGCCUGCGGCUUAAUUUGACCCAACACGGGAAAUCUCACCAGGCCCGGACACCGGAAGGAUUGACAGAUUGAUAGCUCUUUCUUGAUUCGGUGGGUGGUGGUGCAUGGCCGUUCUUAGUUGGUGGAGCGAUUUGUCUGGUUAAUUCCGAUAACGAACGAGACUCUGGCCUACUAACUAGAAGGGUCGUUCUUUACGAGCGGCCCUCUGCUUCUUAGAGGGACGGGCGGCGUUUAGCCGCACGAGAAUGAGCAAUAACAGGUCUGUGAUGCCCUUAGAUGUUCUGGGCUGCACGCGCGCUACACUGAAGGAAUCAGCAUGUUCUCCCCACCCUGAAAAGGGCGGGUAACCCGUUGAAACUCCUUCGUGAUGGGGAUUGGAGAUUGUAAUUAUUCUCCAUGAACGAGGAAUUCCCAGUAGGCGCGAGUCAUCAGCUUGCGUCGAUUACGUCCCUGCCCUUUGUACACACCGCCCGUCGCUACUACCGAUCGAGUGAUUUAGUGAGGACUUCGGACUGGUCUUCAAGUUGGCUUCCGUCAACUCGGAGUUCCGGAAAGAUGCCCAAACUUGAUCACUUAGAGGAAGUAAAAGUCGUAACAAGGUU
rnacentral:rRNA from 1 species